rnacentral:rRNA from 1 species
GACGAACGCUGGCGGCGUGCUUAACACAUGCAAGUCGAACGGAAAGGCCCUGCUUUUGUGGGGUGCUCGAGUGGCGAACGGGUGAGUAACACGUGAGUAACCUGCCCUUGACUUUGGGAUAACUUCAGGAAACUGGGGCUAAUACCGGAUAGGAGCUCCUGCUGCAUGGUGGGGGUUGGAAAGUUUCGGCGGUUGGGGAUGGACUCGCGGCUUAUCAGCUUGUUGGUGGGGUAGUGGCUUACCAAGGCUUUGACGGGUAGCCGGCCUGAGAGGGUGACCGGCCACAUUGGGACUGAGAUACGGCCCAGACUCCUACGGGAGGCAGCAGUGGGGAAUAUUGCACAAUGGGCGGAAGCCUGAUGCAGCAACGCCGCGUGCGGGAUGACGGCCUUCGGGUUGUAAACCACUUUCGCCUGUGACGAAGCGUGAGUGACGGUAAUGGGUAAAGAAGCACCGGCUGACUACGUG